AACGAACGCUGGCGGCAGGCUUAACACAUGCAAGUCGAGCGCCUCGCAAGAGGAGCGGCCGACGGGUGAGUAACGCGUGGGAACGUACCCUUAUCUUCGGAAUAGCUCUGGGAAACUGGAAGUAAUACCGAAUGUGCCCUUAGGGGGAAAGAUUUAUCGGAUAAGGAUCGGCCCGCGUUGGAUUAGCUAGUUGGUGGGGUAAAGGCCUACCAAGGCGACGAUCCAUAGCUGGUCUGAGAGGAUGAUCAGCCACAUUGGGACUGAGACACGGCCCAAACUCCUACGGGAGGCAGCAGUGGGGAAUAUUGGACAAUGGGCGCAAGCCUGAUCCAGCCAUGCCGCGUGAGUGAUGAAGGCCUUAGGGUUGUAAAGCUCUUUCACCGGAGAAGAUAACGACGGUAUCCGGAGAAGAAGCCCCGGCUAACUUCGUG
rnacentral:rRNA from 1 species